AAAAUUGAAGGUCUAAUCUGCCCAAUGAUAUUUGAAUGGCCGCGGUAACUUGACCGUGCAAAGGUAGCAUAAUUAUUAGUCUUUUAAUUGAAGGCUUGAAUGAAAGAUUGGAUGAAAAAUAAACUUUAUUAAUUUAAAUUAUUUAAUUUAUCAUUUAAGUAAAAAUUCUUAAAUAUAUAAGUGGGACGAGAAGACCCUAUAGAGUUUUAUUUUUAUUUUUAUUAUGAAAUUCAAGAAUUAUUAUUUUUAUAAAAAGAAUAAAUUUUUUAUUGGGGUGAUAUUAAAAAUUAUUAAACUUUUAAUUAAUAUAUCAUUAAUAUAUGUAUUAUUGAUCCAAAAAAUUUUUGAUUAUAAGACUUAAUUACCUUAGGGAUAACAGCGUUAUUAAUUUGAAGAGUUCAAAUCGAUAAAUUAGUUUGCGACCUCGAUGUUGGAUUAAGAAUAAAUUUUGAAGUAGUGUUUAAAAUUACAGGUCUGUUCGACCUUUAAAUUCUUACG
rnacentral:rRNA from 1 species